GAAGUACUUCCGGGUUCACUGGUCUGCUUCGGCUUCCGUUCCCCGACGGCCAAUUGGAGACGACUGGGAGUCAGGCGGGUGUCCAGAAGGAGCGCUCCGAACAGACGGUGCGAGCCGCCGGGCGUCUCCUGUCCUUGCUAGACUGUGAGGUGGGAGUUAGAGCCCGGGCCUCUCGCGCCCCGCGACGCCUCCUUUUUCUCCCUCCACCUCUGAACUCUCCGGCCACCGCGGAGAUGUGGGACGGCGGCACACCCAGCCCGGGAGGCGACUGGCUAGGAAAUGGAACUGUUAGUAUUGCGAAGCCCAGAUCCCCUUUCGUUUUGGUGUUCACUACUAUUACGGCCCUCCUCAAAAACUAAAAGGUUGCAUAUGAUCGCCUCCUUUCUGAGCCAGACGGACAUAUGGGCUUUGCAGGCCAAUGAGAUUGGAAUGCUGUUCCGAGGAUGCUACCCUCACAUCAGGGGAAAGCUCCAGUGUAGUCCCCCACUAUCACAAACUCUGCAGUUGGGUUUUCUCCAUUUGGGGAAAACGCAGGGGUCAACACAUCCAGAGUGCAAUGCAUAAGCCUCACCCUGGGAAAACCACCUUUGUG